GGAUUUGCGUGAUACAUAGGUAUGACCUUAGACUAUUGUUUGCUUGGUUUUAAGAAUGUUUGCAAAGGGGAAUGGAUCAUAGAUACAAGUGCUUCAAAUUACAUGAUUUCUUACCCUUUUAUUUGAUUCUGAUAACAUAUUUACAAGUAGUAAACCCGUGUUUCUUCCUGAUGGUUCUAAACAAUAUAUAGCCAAAGUAGGUAUUGUCACUCUGCAUCCCAAGUUGCAUUUGACCAAUGUUUUUUACCUCCUAAAGUUUAAGUGCAA
rnacentral:misc_RNA from 1 species